rnacentral:lncRNA from 1 species
UUUUCACACGCACUUCAUAUCUAAGACUCAGUGUGCCUCACCAAGAAACAAAGAAUUUGCUCUAUCCUCAACGUUGCAAAAUGUCUGGGCAUAGGCUGUGUUGCAUUUCUCACAUACAGUAUGAGCAGAGAAGCUUACCCAUUCUGUUGCAGCAGGUCCAUAGAAGUUUCACUGAAGUGCUUUGGUUUUUAUUGAAUUGCAUGCUUAUUAUGUCUGGACAAGAAGAUGUGUACAUGAAGAGGAUGUUUUGAUAGGCCUGACCUGAGAGCUGUAUGCUCACAAUAAAAGCUAGAGACACAGUCAUUUGACAUUAAAACAACUGAGAAAAGAUGAUGAAUCUUGAGAAGAAAUUGGGAUAUUAUGUACAAAAGAGGUGUUAUAAUACUUUAUGGCCAAAACGAAAACAAAAGAAAAAAAAGCAAGAAAACAAACAAAAUCAAAAAACAAAAAAACUAGCAAUGUUCCACCAUAAAGUUUAAAUGGAUCUUACUUUGGUUCAGACUUUAGAAACUGAUUGACAUCUGGGUUAUGUAUAUUUCACUUCCCACGUUCUGCACGGUAAUCUUCUAAACUUUAGCAACUUACCUUAUUAAUUCCUUUAGGCUUGAUAUGAAGCCUGCCCCAGAUAAGUGCCUCAUAAAAGAAGAAUAAACAAAUGAAUGAAUAAAAGCAAAUGCCAUACUAUAGACUUUUGAGUAAAAAGAUUUUCUCUACAACAUAUUAAAAGAAUGAACCAGCAGAACAAACUUCAAACUUUAAAACAAUGUUGUUUAAGUUAGUCAUGUCUGAGAUGAUAAAUAAAUCAAC